rnacentral:rRNA from 1 species
AGAGUUUGAUCAUGGCUCAGAACGAACGCUGGCGGCGUGCUUAACACAUGCAAGUCGUACGAGAAACCGGAACUUCGGUUCUGGGAGUAAAGUGGCGCACGGGUGAGUAACGCGUAGGUAAUCUACCCUUGGGUUUGGAAUAACCCGCCGAAAGGCGUGCUAAUACCGGAUAAAAUCUUUCGGAGGGAUCUGAAAGAUCAAAGGUGGCCUCUCCAUGGAUGCUACCGCCUGAGGAUGAGCCUGCGUCCCAUUAGCUUGUUGGUAGGGUAAUGGCCUACCAAGGCUACGAUGGGUAGCUGGUCUGAGAGGAUGAUCAGUCACACUGGAACUGGAACACGGUCCAGACUCCUACGGGAGGCAGC